CCCGGAUGCUCCAUUACUAUUUGCUGAAUGAAUCAUGAGAGCUGAGAUAUACAAAUCACAUCAAAGACAACUGGGCCUAAGAAUCCCCCUAGAGCUUCAGGACCUGGUAAGCUUUUUCCCAGGCCAGUAGAUGUUACUAUUUCAUUUGGACUGGCUUCAUCUUCUCCAGUGGAUCUUCAGUUAGCUGGGAACACACAGAUGACUGAAAAAGAACCCUCACACCUUUCAUCUUAAAGACAAA